ensembl:ncRNA asRNA:CR45713 antisense RNA:CR45713
GGAGCGGGAGCAGGAGCCGAGUAAACUGGAGCUGGAGCUGGAGCAGGAGCAGAGUAAACUGGAGCGGGCGCAGGAGCGGGAAGGUCCUGGACGGGAGGUAAAUACUCGGGAGCUGGCGCAGGAGCAGAGUAAACUGGAGCUGGGGCAGGAGCAGAGUAUACCGGAGCUGGCGCAGGAGCAGAAUACACUGGGGCGGGAGCAGGGAUGUCUUGAACAGGAGGCAGAUACUCCGAAACGGGUGCUGGUGCGGGAGCAGAGUAGACUGGAGCUGGGGCUGGAGCGGAGUAAACAGGAGCAGGUGCAGGAGCGGAGUAAACGGGAGCUGGAGCCGGAGCUGGAAUGUCCUGGACGGGAGGCAAGUACUCAGGAGCUGGCGCAGGAGCAGAGUAAACUGGAGCUGGGGCAGGAGCAGAGUAAACUGGAGCUGGAGCAGGAGCAGAAUAAACAGGAGCUGGAGCUGGGAUGUCUUGAACAGGAGGCAGGUACUCCGAAACAGGUGCUGGUGCCGGAGCGGAGUAGACUGGGGCUGGGGCUGGAGCGGAGUAAACAGGAGCAGGCGCAGGAGCAGAGUACACAGGAGCUGGAGCCGGCGCAGAUAUCACCUCCUGAACGGGUGGCAGAUAAGCUGGAGCUGGAGCCGAGGGGAUGUUGAAGGUCGGCGUGGGCUUGUUGUAGCUAUAACCACUGCCCAGGUUAAGGUGGGAAACAUCGGCGGAGGCCAAGGCGAUGGCGCACACAGCGAAGACGAAGAGUUUCUAAAAUAAGCGGAAAUUUAAGGGUCAAGUGAGCGAUCGGGAUCCCCGACAUCUUGACGGUUGGCCAAGGCGAGCGGUUGAGCAAGGCCAACGGCUUUCUUGAUCGAAGUUGUGACCAGUGGACAGUUUACUCACCAUUGUUAUUGAUUUGUUGGUCGGGCUUUUAAAGUUCGUUGGAUUUGCUUUGGCAAGCUCUUGUCGCAAGACGCUCAAGCUGAAUGAUGUCGAACUGCAGAUGGGCCCGCACUUUUAUACCAAAAGCCAUGCUUAACUUGGUCUGGCCCAUUAUUAUUGCUGGAUAUCCGUCUUCGCGUCUUCGGUGUGGGCCUGGCGCUUCUUCUAGUCGAAGAAAAGGUAGACAGUUAAGAAGAGAGCGGAGCAGUGAUCAUUAACCCAGAGGCGGCUGUUGGGCGAUCAAAACGAAACAAAGAUAUAUUUAUUUUAUUUUUCCCUUUGAUCUUACGUAUUAACAUUAAGAAACGUUAAUUUUCAAGUUUUGAAUAUGGUUUAGGGAGAAUUAAAAAAAAAAAAACUAU